rnacentral:tRNA from 1 species
GCUCUCGUAGUUCAAUGGAUAGAACCGUGGACUUCUAAGCCACUAAUGUAAGUUCGAUUCUUACCGAGAGCACCA